rnacentral:snRNA from 1 species
GUGCUUGCUUCAGCAGCGCGUAGGCUAAAGUUGGAACAACACGGAGAAUAGUAGCAUGGCCCCUGCACGUAGAUGACACACAAAAUUAAAUAGGUAACAGUGGUGUCC